rnacentral:rRNA from 1 species
GCAUAUCAUAAGCGGAGGAAAAGAAACCAACAGGGAUUGCCCUAGUAACGGCGAGUGAAGCGGCAACAGCUCAAAUUUGAAAUCUGGCUUCGGCCCGAGUUGUAAUUUGCAGAGGAAGCUUUAGGCGCGGCACCUUCUGAGUCCCCUGGAACGGGGCGCCAUAGAGGGUGAGAGCCCCGUAUAGUUGGAUGCCUAGCCUGUGUAAAGCUCCUUCGACGAGUCGAGUAGUUUGGGAAUGCUGCUCAAAAUGGGAGGUAAAUUUCUUCUAAAGCUAAAUACCGGCCAGAGACCGAUAGCGCACAAGUAGAGUGAUCGAAAGAUGAAAAGCACUUUGAAAAGAGGGUUAAAUAGCACGUGAAAUUGUUGAAAGGGAAGCGCUUGUGACCAGACUUGCGCCGGGCGGAUCAUCCGGUGUUCUCACCGGUGCACUCCGCCCGGCUCAGGCCAGCAUCGGUUCUCGCGGGGGGAUAAAGGUCCUGGGAACGUAGCUCCUCCGGGAGUGUUAUAGCCCGGGGCGUAAUGCCCUCGCGGGGACCGAGGUUCGCGCAUCUGCAAGGAUGCUGGCGUAAUGGUCAUCAGCGACCCGUCUUGAAACACGGACCAAGGAGUCAAGGUUUUGCGCGAGUGUUUGGGUGUAAAACCCGCACGCGUAAUGAAAGUGAACGUAGGUGAGAGCUUCGGCGCAUCAUCGACCGAUCCUGAUGUUUUCGGAUGGAUUUGAGUAGGAGCGUUAAGCCUUGGACCCGAAAGAUGGUGAACUAUGCUUGGAUAGGGUGAAGCCAGAGGAAACUCUGGUGGAGGCUCGCAGCGGUUCUGACGUGCAAAUCGAUCGUCAAAUCUGAGCAUGGGGGCGAAAGACUAAUCGAACCAUCUAGUAGCUGGUUACCGCCGA